rnacentral:piRNA from 1 species
UAACAAGUUGCCUUGGUCAUGGUGUUAACA